CUGGACGGCCCUUAUGACUUUGCCAAUUUUCUCUUCUCGCUGCUUGUCUUCCUCCCCAAAGAUGGAGCUGACAUUAGAAGAUACGACAUGAAGAGCCUGGAAUAUGCCAUUCCCAUCCUGACACCAAGAAAAAAGCUGGACCACACUGCAAAGCAAUGACAUCUCUUGUGCUCAACAGAAAUAUGAGGUUGCAAGAAAACCUCCACUCUGAAACCUGGAAAGACGCACAGCUCCAGGGAGAUACAGCUAAGAUCUGUUGACUUGUUCCCGAAGUUGCUGGAACCAUGAACUGUCAAGAACACUGAUGAAUUUUGAUGAAUUGCAGGAGGCUGAGUGUAGAUUAGCCUGAGAGUGACAAAUUCCUGAGGACUUCAGUCUUAAGGGACUCCACACUUUUGUGAAUGUCACCUCCAAGGACUUCACCAGGUUUCCAUGGUGAAGAUCUGAGAAAGAUCCCCUCAUGGCUUUGGCAUGGGGAGAGGAAGAAUAAUCAUUGAGAUAUACACCAAGAGAUUUCUCCAUGAUAAAGGCCUAUAUUUCAGAGGGAAGGACUUUAGCAACAUUUUAUCCCAGUCAAGGAAAGGGCAUUCCUCCCACUCCAGCACCCUAUAGACUUCCUGUUUUACCAAAGGGAAUGGGAGUGAGGAAUAGAGUCAACAGGUGUCAGAGUUUCAAGGAGGUAGAUUGAGGAUGGCACAUCCAGGAGAGGGAGAAAAGAUCAGGUGGAAAGAAGUUACACCACUGGAAAGUCACUAGUGAAGGUCAUAGCCCCAAGACGCAAACACAAGCACUUAGAUUUGGUUGCAAGAUUAUAGAAUGUUUCCCCUUCCCACUCCUUGCCACCAUACCAACAGACUCCAAUAUAAUAACAGUGGCCUGCAGCUGAGAAAGCUGUAAGAUACAGACUCUCUGAGAAGGAGUACUUAGGGAAGCCCAAAGUCUGGAAGAAAGACCAAAACAAGGACACUAGAGAAAUCUGAAUUUCUGGCACUUAUGGCACUAAACAGUCUAACUCCCAGCCAGAUUAAAAUAGACCCUCACACUGAAGGCUUAUCAACCUCAGUUCUUAUUACCUAAUACCACAUUUUCUGCUUUCAACAGAAAAUUACAAGGCAUGCCAAAAAGCAAGUGGAAACAUAGCCUGAAGAGACAGAGCAGUCCUCAGAACUGGAUUUAGAUAUGACACGGAUGUUGAAAUUAUCAAACAGGGAAUUUAAAUAGCUGUGAUUAAUAUGUUAAGGGCACUAGUGGAAAAAAAGUAAGCAACAUACAAGAAAGGAUGGGUAAUGUAAGCAAAGAGAUGGAAUUGCUAAGAUAGAAUAAAAAAGAAAUGUUAGAAAUCAGAAAUACUAUAAAAGAAAUAAAGAAUGCCUUCAAAGUGUUCAUCAGGAGACUCAACACAGCCUAGGGAAGAAUCAGUGAGCAGGGGGAUAAAGAAAUGCAAAUAGAAAAGGGAAUGGGGGGAGGGGACCCAAAUGGACCAUCCAGGAACUGUGAGAUAAGUUUCAAGGGUAUAAAAUACCAAGGAGAAGCAUGAGGGAAUAGAAUAGAAAAGAAUAUGCAGUGAUAAUGAGAACUUUCCAAAAUUAAUGAUAGACACCAAACCACAGAUCCAGGCAGUUCAGAGAGCAAGAAUCAGUGUUUUCCAAAAAAUCUACACCUAGGCAUAUCAUUCAGAUUUCCAAAAAUCAAAGGCAGAAAAUCUUGAAAUAAGUGAGAGGGGGAAAAAGCAUUGCACAUAUAGAGGAAGAAGUAUAAUAAAUACAGUGGACUUCUCAUCAGAAACCAUGCAUGCAUGCAAGAAGACAGUGGAAUAAAAUAUUUAAGAUGUUAAAAUAAACAGACUACCGGCCUAGAACUCUGCAUCGUGCAAAGUUGUCCUUCUAACUGAAGGAGAAAUAAAGAUGUUCUCUGACAAACAAAAACCAAAGGAAUUUAUCACCGGUAGGUCUGUCCUACAAGAAAUGUUAAAAAGAAGUUCCUUAGUGGAAGGAAAGUGAUAUAGGUCAGAAACAGAAAUCUAUAUAAAGAAAAGAAGAACGUCAGAGAAGGAAUAAAUGAAGCACCUGUCCCCAGGUGGAUAGAACCACAUCUGUCUCAUCUUGGCAUAACAAGUUCACAUCUACAUCUGUGAAUGAUGAGUAUAUUUUGUAAGGAAACAGUCUAUUCUUGCAAUCUUGCAAUUGAAUAAAAAAAUAAUCACAUA